rnacentral:tRNA from 1 species
AUUUGAAUAGUUUAUUUAGAAUAAUAAUUUGUGAUAUUAUAGGUGUAAUUUACUUUAAAUU